rnacentral:rRNA from 1 species
UACGUAGGGUGCAAGCGUUAAUCGGAAUUACUGGGCGUAAAGCGUGCGUAGGCGGUUAUUUAAGUCUAUUGUGAAAUCCCCGGGCUCAACCUGGGAAUGGCAAUGGAUACUGGAUAGCUAGAGUGUGAUAGAGGAUGGUGGAAUUCCCGGUGUAGCGGUGAAACGCGUAGAGAUCGGGAGGAACAUCAGUGGCGAAGGCGGCCAUCUGGAUCAACACUGACGCUGAGGCACGAAAGCGUGGGGAGCAAACAGG